UAACCAUGCUGAGGACACGUCUGAACAAGUCUUUAAACCUUUCCCAAGCUUCAUAGAACGGUUCAAAAUCCAAUUGCCUGAAUUGACCUAUUUCACUUCUGAGUUG
rnacentral:snoRNA from 1 species